GGAAAUUCCGCUUAUAACCAGCAAAUUGAUCCAAAUCUGAAGCAUAUCGAUCCAUGUCCUUCUCCCCCACCCCUAAAGCGUAUCGAUGUCCUUCUCCCCCAAAUCGAUUCAGCCUUAUCUGAGGUCUGGAAGCGGUCGUAGGCAACAACAAUUUGAUAUCUCCCCCAAUUUCGAAGCGGUGUCUCCGCCCAUUACUGCCUAUCUCUGCUCCCCCCCUCUCAUAUCCCAGCUCCUCUUCUCUGCCUCCCUCUCUCUCAUCUCCAAAUUGUUUUGGUUUAAUGGAGGACAGAGGAACUAGAUCUGUUUUCUCUCUCCUCCGACACCCACUUCCGGUCACCACCGUGACUCACCUCCACCAUCACAGACCUCACCGACCUCCGACGAGUUUAAUGCAGCCUUGAGGAGUAAGUGUAGGUCAGGGAAUUUCGACAAGGCAUGGAGAAAUUUGUUUAAAUCGCGGUGGCCGGAGCUUGGCAGUAGGAUUGAACCUCCUGACUGGCAGCAGAUAUAUUGGGAAACGCAUCUGCAAAAGUAUGCUUUUCUUUUUAUUUUUCUAUUAUUUUUUAAUAGCUGUUUUCCCUUUUCAAUGACAGAAGAGGGAUUGGUGAAUUUUGUUCAUGGAGGAUUUGGUAUUUUUGUUUUAUGAAACCAUAAAGAACAGUUGUCUAGAUGAAGUAGCAGAGCUAGCUUCGCUGCCCUCAUUUGAUGGGCGCCUUGGUGAAAUCAAGAUUUCAGACUCUUUAUUGGAAUUGAUAGGUUGUGAGGGUGACAUGGCUACUUCAACUUGUGAAUAUUCCAAACUAUAUCACCAUUGUCUACACUGUGGUUACUUUGUGCAGUAAGUUUGCAAUUUGAUGAGACCGUAGUCCCAUGUCCUUCCAAGAAUGGAGGACUGGGUCGCAUAUUGAAAUUUUACUUCGUUAUCCAUUUGCAUAUACAGACUUCAAUGUUCUUGUCUUUAUGCAAAAUUUAUGUUAUUAGAUUGUGUUCUUAUCUUUAUGCAGAUGCCUGAGACUUCAAAAUGCUUUCUGUGAUGAAGAAAUUUGUCACCUAUUGAGGAACAGCAAAUAGCAGAGCUUGGAACUAAGGUGGAUAAGAUCCAAGGAGCAUAUUACUGGAUUAUGC